UACGGUUUUUAAAGUUUCACUGAGUAAAGAAUUAUGAAGUCUGCUCUGAUCUUGCUUUGCUGUGUUUUGAUGAUUGUUAUUGAUCCAACCACUUCCUUCUUGAGCCCUAAACCCAAGAAUGACAAAUCUCUGUAUAAUCUUUACCACAAACAAAGUUCAAACGUGGAUGAUAAUUUGAACGAAAUGAGAAGUCUCCAGCAGAACCUUGAAAAGCUCCGAAGUUAAUUUGAGGGUCAACCAAAUAAACGCAUUUCAACUUACUAACUGUUAUGUUUAAGUGAUGCGUUUAAAUAAAACAUAAUAUACCCCAA